CCCCGGCUGCGGGUGCGCCCCGGGCCGCGCUCCCCCGCGGGGGGUUGGGGUUCGGGGGGGACUCUGGGCAGCAUCCAGACCGAUCCCACCUGGAGCGGGUGACACAGGAACGCACCUAGGCGGGGUUUGGAAUCUCUCCACAGGGGAGCCCACGGCCUCCCUGGGCAGCCGCUGCCAGUGCUCUGCCGCCCUCCGCCUAAACUUCUUCUCCAUGUUGAGUACUCUGUGCACAAGGGAAAAAUGCACAUCCACAGUUCCCCCUGUACCAGGGAAGGUCGUGGUGAAUCUCUUUAAGUCACCUGGUUGGCAGUUUAUUUUGGUUUCAGACCAAGUUCUAAAACAAUACAUACCUCACAAGAGUGUAAGCAUGCUUCUCCAGUCACACUGAACUGGCUUCCAGAAGAAACUGGAAAAAAUGACUGGUUUCUGCAAAUGUGAUUAAAGAAAGUAAAUCAGAAAAGGCACCUCUGUCAUUUACAGAUAACAGGCUACAUCUUGCACUCCUUACUUAAGUCUUACUCAUACAAUAUUCCUGCUAUAAUUUGACUUUUUUGCCUGAGGAAAGACUAGAUGAAUACUGAGUAAUGACAUCAAGAUUAUUUCUGGAGAAGCUAAUGAAGUGUCAUGUUAGGGGCAUUACUUCCAUUUGAGGGACAAGUAGAGUCACAUUUUAUCUAAUACUUCCCAGUGCUGAAGUUCCUGUGUUACCAUGUUCUAAGAAUGACUGUGUACAACCAAAUGUAAUGAAAAUAAAACAUAUUAAAGGUGUUAAUAUGGGUACCUACUGGCCUCAGCUAAGGCCAUCCCAUAACUGCCUGGGGCAUUAUUGCUCACAUUGCUAUGGCAUUAUGUGGCACAGGCACUGAUCAUCUGUGUUUCCUAAGGCUGAGUCAGCUGUUGUGGAGGAUGCUUCCUGCUGCCAUGCCUUGGUUUGGAGGGAAGGGGCCCACACUGCUUGUUGCCUGGACACCUUGGGCCAAGAGCAGAUGGAUACAUCAAUAAAACAAGUCAUGUCUGCAGCACUACCAGGUGUUGUGUCUAUGAUUCUCCUCGGCUGUGGCAGCUGAGGGGUGGCUGGAGAUGACUAAUGUUACCUUCAGAGAGAGAUUGGCAUCAGCUAAA